GUCCUCGUAGUUUAAUGGAUAGAACGGGGCCCUCCUAAGGCCUUGAUGCAGGUUCGAUUCCUGCCGGGGACGCCA
rnacentral:tRNA from 6 species